CCUACGGGGGGCUGCAGUGGGGAAUUUUGGACAAUGGGCGCAAGCCUGAUCCAGCCAUGCCGCGUGCGGGAAGAAGGCCUUCGGGUUGUAAACCGCUUUUGUCAGGGAAGAAAAGCUCUGGGCUAAUACCUCGGAGUGAUGACGGUACCUGAAGAAUAAGCACCGGCUAACUACGUGCCAGCAGCCGCGGUAAUACGUAGGGUGCAAGCGUUAAUCGGAAUUACUGGGCGUAAAGCGUGCGCAGGCGGUUGUGCAAGACAGAUGUGAAAUCCCCGGGCUCAACCUGGGAACUGCAUUGGUGACUGCACGGCGGGAGUGCGGCAGAGGGGGAUGGAAUUCCGCGUGUAGCAGUGAAAUGCGUAGAGAUGCGGAGGAACACCGAUGGCGAAGGCAAUCCCCUGGGCCUGCACUGACGCUCAUGCACGAAAGCGUGGGGAGCAAACAGGAUUAGAUACCCGGGUAGUCC
rnacentral:rRNA from 1 species